ACGCCGGUCACGCGAGAGGUUAUACACAGUUCGGGUAGCACGCUGUAAGGCGCUACCGCGGCUGAUUCUACUCUCCUUAUUCAUAGACGUAAACAAGGACAGAAGGACGCGACAGCGUACGUGCCACCCGAAUGUCCCAAAUGUGAGAAUUAAAACGCGCACCUUGAACUGGCUUCAACUAUGCAGCCACGGAUAUUUUCAAUACAUUAGAUAUGGUUUUCGAUUUUUUCUUCGCGCGAUUUAAUAUGUGACGGAACGCGCGCGCAGAUCAUGUGUAAUUUAUAAUAAUUAAAGUAACGGAGUGCCGGUUGCAUUCGCAUCUCGCGGAAUUUACGCGUGCUCGAGUGUUAUUUUCGGAUUGUUAAUUCGUUUAACUAGGCGUUAAUUUUGCAUUAUAACUAUCGGCUGCAGGGAACGUCGCGCAAAAUAUACCGCGCGAUCGUUAUCCGCAUUUUCGUGAGUCGAAGGAGUCCUACUGACGACGCGGAUUAUACAGCUUGAGAUAAUUAAAGUGAGUUCUUUUCAAGAUUAAAGAAGUUAGAUUAAAAUGAUUGCGAAUCGGACAAAAUGUUCAAUUUUUUUCGACGAACAUAAUUGUCGAUCGUUAACAGGGGAGGAGGCGUUGAAAUCCGCGUUUUGAGCGCGACGACAUCGUGAGUAUUUUUAAUAAUUUAACAUCACAAAUUGAGUUU